GGAUCGCCCAGAUAGCAUUUGUCUGUGAACUGCGAAUGGCUCAUUAAUCAGUUAUCGUUUAUUUGAUAGUACCUUACUACAUGGAUACCUGUGGUAAUUCUAGAGCUAAUACAUGCUGAAAACCUCGACUUCGGAAGGGGUGUAUUUAUUAGAUAAAAAACCAAUGCCCUUCGGGGCUCCUUGGUGAAUCAUAAUAACUUAACGAAUCGCAUGGCCUUGCGCCGGCGAUGGUUCAUUCAAAUUUCUGCCCUAUCAACUUUCGAUGGUAGGAUAGUGGCCUACCAUGGUGGCAACGGGUAACGGGGAAUUAGGGUUCGAUUCCGGAGAGGGAGCCUGAGAAACGGCUACCACAUCCAAGGAAGGCAGCAGGCGCGCAAAUUACCCAAUCCCGACACGGGGAGGUAGUGACAAUAAAUACUGAUACGGGGCUCUUUUGGGUCUCGUAAUUGGAAUGAGUACAAUCUAAAUCCCUUAACGAGGAACAAUUGGAGGGCAAGUCUGGUGCCAGCAGCCAGUGUUCUCAUAUUCUUUUCUCUGCAGCCAUAUGGCCCUCUAGUCAACACCUUAAAUCUUUAUUUUACGUUGAGUGAAUACUAGGACAGGCAUACAGUGAAUUUUUCGUAAGAGUGUAAACAGGAGUGGGUGCAAGUUCUAAAUUUGCGCCCACUUUUUUACCUACGGUGCAAAUUAUUAAAUACCCCACUAACACGAAACAUGGACAUACACGAAUCGUAUAAAAAGGUUAUAACGAUUUAAACUAAGUGACUCCGAGAUCACGUUCCAGCAAUACGACGAUAUUGUUUCCCACGAUCGUCCCUUAUAAUGUUUAC
rnacentral:rRNA from 1 species